rnacentral:rRNA from 1 species
GUUUCCCAACUGUGGGAAGCGUGGCGAACGGCUCAGUAACACGUAGCCAACUAACCUAGAGAUGUGGACAACCCCGGGAAACUGGGAUUAAUUCAUGAUAGAUCAAGGCUCCUGGAAUGGGCUUUGGUCCAAAGGGAUGGACAAGCAUGUUUUGCCCAUCUGCUCUAGAUGGGGCUGCGGCCGAUCAGUUGUUGGUGGGGUAAUGGCCCACCAAGCCUAUAACCGGUACGGGCUUUGAGAGAAGGAGCCCGGAAUGGACACUGAAUAAGGUCCAGCCCUACGGGGCGCAGCAGGCGCGAAAACUUCGCAAUGUGCGAAAGCAUGACGAGGUUACUCCGAGUGCUACUCGCUGAGGGUGGCUUUUCCUGAGUCUAAAAAGCUUGGGGAAUAAGGGGAGGGUAAGUCUGGUGUCAGCCGCCGCGGUAAUACCAGCUCCUCGAGUGGUCGGGACGUUUAUUGGGCCUAAAGCAUCCGUAGCCGGUCUUGUAGGUCCCCUGUUAAACCCAACGGCCAACCGUUGGACUGCAGAGGAUACCGCAUGACUAGCGAGGCGGGAGAGGUGGAUGGUACUCCAUGGGUAGGGGUAACAAUCCUUUGACUCCAUGGAAGACCACCAGCUGGCGAAGCGGUCCGCCAGAACGCGCUCGAGGUGCAGGGAUGAAAGACUGGGGCGAGCGACACCGGAUUCAAUACCCGGG